UACGUAGGGUGCGAGCGUUGUCCGGAAUUAUUGGGCGUAAAGAGCUCGUAGGCGGUUUGUUGCGUCGGCCGUGAAAACCUGCAGCUUAACUGUGGGCCUGCGGCCGAUACGGGCAGACUUGAGUUCGGUAGGGGAGACUGGAAUUCCUGGUGUAGCGGUGAAAUGCGUAGAUAUGUGGAGGAACACCGAUGGCGAAGGCAGCCCCCUGGGCUAACACUGACGCUCAUGCACGAAAGCGUGGGGAGCAAACAGG
rnacentral:rRNA from 1 species